GACGGACGCUGGCGGCGUGCUUAACACAUGCAAGUCGAACGGAAAGGCCCUGCUUUUGUGGGGUGCUCGAGUGGCGAACGGGUGAGUAACACGUGAGUAACCUGCCCUUGACUUUGGGAUAACUUCAGGAAACUGGGGCUAAUACAGGAUAGGAGCUCCUGCUGCAUGGUGGGGGUUGGAAAGUUUCGGCGGUUGGGGAUGGACUCGCGGCUUAUCAGCUUGUUGGUGGGGUAGUGGCUUACCAAGGCUUUGACGGGUAGCCGGCCUGAGAGGGUGACCGGCCACAUUGGGACUGAGAUACGGCCCAGACUCCUACGGGAGGCAGCAGUGGGGAAUAUUGCACAAUGGGCGGAAGCCUGAUGCAGCAACGCCGCGUGCGGGAUGACGGCCUUCGGGUUGUAAACCGCUUUCGCCUGUGACGAAGCGUGAGUGACGGUAAUGGGUAAAGAAGCACCGGCUAACUACGUG
rnacentral:rRNA from 1 species